rnacentral:misc_RNA from 1 species
CCGAAUUGUCAACACGAGUUGUUGCUGGUCCCCAGACCGGGGUCACGUGCACACUCUGUUUACACAUCCACCCACACCUGUGCACCCUCUGUAGCUCUAUGGCCUGGGUGGGUUUGUCCCCCCUUGCUGUGGUUCUACGUAUUUACACACACACGCUGCCAUAAAGUCUCAUGGAAUGUUUGCCGCGUUUAACGCAAUACAAUA